rnacentral:rRNA from 1 species
UGGGGAAUAUUGCACAAUGGGGGAAACCCUGAUGCAGCGACGCCGCGUGAACGAAGAAGGUAUUCGUAUCGUAAAGUUCUGUCCUAUGUGAAGAUAAUGACAGUACCAUAGAAGAAAGCUCCGGCUAAAUACGUGCCAGCAGCCGCGGUAAUACGUAUGGAGCGAGCGUUGUCCGGAAUUAUUGGGCGUAAAGGGUACGCAGGCGGUUUAAUAAGUCGAAUGUUAAAGAUCGGGGCUCAACCCCGCAAAGCAUUGGAAACUGAUAAACUUGAGUAGUGGAGAGGAAAGUGGAAUUCCUAAUGUAGUGGUGAAAUACGUAGAUAUUAGGAGGAAUACCAGUAGCGAAGGCGACUUUCUGGACACAAACUGACGCUGAGGUACGAAAGCGUGGGGAGCAAACAGG